GGGAGGGGGAGGUGGAGGUGCAGGGGGAAAAGCUAUACCAGUAUUCUGCCUGCUAGAUAACGGAGCAGAUAAAGGUGGAGGUGGAGGUGGAGGUGGAGGUGGAGGUGGAGGUGGAGGUGGGGGAGGAGAUAGAAAAGAGGACGAGGGUGAAGGGGCCUUCAAGGAGACAAAAUUUGUACUUAGAAGAGGUGGCGGUGGAGGUGGUGGUGGAGGAGGAGGAGGAGGUGGAGGAGUUGCUAUUGCAGCUACCUGUGACAACGAGAUAGCUGGUGACAAAGACUUAGGAGGGUGAGUGUACAAUGAAGAGAUGUGAGACAUAGGCGGAGGAGGUGGAGGAGGUGGAGGCGGAGGUGGAGGGGGCACUACUUGUUGUAGGCCAAUAUGUGCUGUUAUAAUAGAGGAAGACUCUGUCUCUUGAAUUGGUGGUAGUGUUGAUGGCAAGCAGGAUGUGAGUGUCUCCGUAAGUGUCUCCGUAAGUGUCUCUGGUGCAGACUUUGAAG
rnacentral:lncRNA from 1 species